ensembl:misc_RNA Metazoa_SRP Metazoan signal recognition particle RNA
GCUGGGUGUGGUGGCGCACACCUGUAGUCCCAGCUACUCAGGAGGCUGAGGCAGGAGAAUCGCUUGAACCCGGGAGGCAGGGGUUGCAGUGAACUGAAAUCGUGCCACUGUACUCCAGCCUGGGCGACAGAGAGAGACUCUGUCUCAA